rnacentral:rRNA from 1 species
AUUGAACGCUGGCGGCAUGCCUAACACAUGCAAGUCGAACGCGAAAGAGGGGCAACUCUCGAGUAGAGUGGCGGACGGGUGAGUAAUACGUAGGAAUCUACCCUAGAGUGGGGGAUAACCUGUCGAAAGACGGGCUAAUACCGCAUAUACUCUAAGGAGCGAAGGUGGCUAGCAAUAGCUUUCGCUUUAGGAUGAGCCUACGUCGGAUUAGCUAGUUGGUAGGGUAAUGGCCUACCAAGGCAACAAUCCGUAGCUGGUCUGAGAGGACGAUCAGCCACACUGGAACUGAGACACGGUCCAGACUCCUACGGGAGGCAGCAGUGGGGAAUAUUGGACAAUGGGGGAAACCCUGAUCCAGCAAUGCCGCGUGUGCGAUGAAGGCCUGCGGGUUGUAAAGCACUUUCGUUGGGGAAGAAAUGCUCAAAGAUAAUACAUUUGAGAGCUGACGUUACCCAAAGAAGAAGCACCGGCAAACUCUGUGCCAGCAGCCGCAGUAAUAC